GAAGGGCGGCGNUGCUUACCAUGCAAGUCGAGCGGGCACCAUCCGGUGGCAACACUGGUGAAGUGCUAGCGGCGCCCUGUGUGAGUAACACGUGAGCAACCUGCCCCCAAGUCUGGGAUAAUCCCGGGAAACCGGAGCUAAUACCGGAUGUCCUCGCUGAGCCGCAUGACGCGGCGAGGAAAGUUUUUCGCUUGGGGAGGGACUCGCGGCCUAUCAGCUUGUUGGUGGGGUAACGGCCUACCAAGGCUUCGACGGGUAGCUGGUCUGAGAGGACGACCAGCCACACUGGGACUGAGACACGGCCCAGACUCCUACGGGAGGCAGCAGUGGGGAACCUUGCGCAAUGGGCGAAAGCCUGACGCAGCAACGCCGCGUGGGGGAUGAAGGCUCUCGGGUCGUAAACCCCUUUCAGUGGGAACG
rnacentral:rRNA from 1 species